rnacentral:rRNA from 1 species
GAUGAACGCUGGCGGCGUGCCUAAUACAUGCAAGUCGAGCGAACAGACGAGGAGCUUGCUCCGCUGACGUUAGCGACGGACGGGUGAGUAACACGGGGUUAACCUACCUAUAAGACUGGGAUAACGGCGGGAAACCGGAGCUAAUACCGGAUAAUAUAUUAAACCGCAUGGUUCAAUAGUGAAAGACGGUUUUGCUGUCACUUAUAGAUGGAUCCGCGCCGCAUUAGCUAGUUGGUAAGGUAACGGCUUACCAAGGCAACGAUGCGUAGCCGACCUGAGCGGGUGAUCGGCCACACUGGAACUGAGAACCGGCCCAGACUCCUACGGGAGGCAGCAGUAGGGAAUCUUCCGCAAUGGGCGAAAGCCUGACGGAGCAACGCCGCGUGAGUGAUGAAGGUCUUCGGAUCGUAAACCUCUGUUAUUAGGGAAGAACAAAUGUGUAAGUAACUAUGCACGUCUUGACGGUACCUAAUCAGAAAGCCACGGCUAACUACGUG